AACGUAGGUUCCGAGCGCUAUCCGGAUUUACUGGGCGUAAAGCGCGUUCAGGCGGUUUGGCAAGUCGGGCAUGAAAUCUCUCGGCUCAACCGGGAGAGGUUGUCCGAUACUGCUGGACUUGAGGGCAGUAGAGGGUGGUGGAAUUCCGGGUGUAGUGGUGAAAUGCGUAGAUAUCCGGAGGAACACCAGUGGCGAAAGCGGCCACCUGGACUGCACCUGACGCUGACACGCGAAAGCUAGGGGAGCGAACGGG
rnacentral:rRNA from 1 species